UACGGAGGGUGCGAGCGUUAAUCGGAAUUACUGGGCGUAAAGCGCACGUAGGCUGUUGUGUAAGUCAGGGGUGAAAUCCCGCGGCUUAACCGCGGAACUGCCCUUGAUACUACAUAACUAGAAUCCGGGAGAGGGUGGCGGAAUUCCAGGUGUAGGAGUGAAAUCCGUAGAUAUCUGGAGGAACAUCAGUGGCGAUGGCGGCCACCUGGACCGGUAUUGACGCUGAGGUGCGAAAGCGUGGGGAGCAAAC
rnacentral:rRNA from 1 species